GUCCAGACUCCUACGGGAGGCAGCAGUGGGGAAUAUUGCACAAUGGGGGAAACCCUGAUGCAGCGACGCCGCGUGAGUGAAGAAGUAUUUCGGUAUGUAAAGCUCUAUCAGCAGGGAAGAAAAUGACGGUACCUGACUAAGAAGCCCCGGCUAACUACGUGCCAGCAGCCGCGGUAAUACGUAGGGGGCAAGCGUUAUCCGGAUUUACUGGGUGUAAAGGGAGCGUAGACGGCAUGGCAAGUCAGAUGUGAAAGCCCGGGGCUCAACCCCGGGACUGCAUUUGAAACUGUCAGGCUGGAGUGCAGGAGAGGUAAGUGGAAUUCCUAGUGUAGCGGUGAAAUGCGUAGAUAUUAGGAGGAACACCAGUGGCGAAGGCGGCUUACUGGACUGUAACUGACGUUGAGGCUCGAAAGCGUGGGGAGCAAACAGGAUUAGAUACCCGUGUAAA
rnacentral:rRNA from 1 species